AUGAAGUUGCCUCCGUGUUCCACCAAUGCCUCCAAGAAACGGCCUUUGAAGCUUAUCAUGACAAUCUUCAAAAGCAGUGGAGUCAUAUUGCUUAUCGUCCUCAUUGUAGCAAUGUUUGCUUGCUGGUAUAGCAGGAGGAGCAAGCCACACCAAGCUAACACAGACUCAUCAUUCUACAAGGGAAGACUGGUGAUCCACGACCAGCAGGUCAUUGUAGCUGUCGAAGUGUUCAAUCUGCAACAGCGUUGUGCAUCUCAAAGUUUUCUUGCAGAAUGCAAGACCCUAAGUCGUGUUCGGCAUCGAGACCUUGUGAAGAUCUUGACAGUCUGCAUCGCCAUUGAUGUGGCAUCUGCACUUGAUUAUCUUCACCAACACAUGCCAUUGCCAAUUAUUCACUGUGAUCUCAAGCCAAGCAACAUUCUCCUUGAUAGUGACAUGGUUACUCAUGUUCGUGAUCUUGGGCUUGCAAGAGCCCUGCCUAAACACCCAAGCGGCUGUUUAGAGAAAUCAAGUGGCUGGGCUACAAUGAGAGGAACAAUUGGCUAUGCUGCUCUAGAGUACGGUUUGGGCAACAAAGUUUCAAUCCUAGGUGAUGUGUACAGCUAUGGGGUACUGUUGCUGGAGAUGUUUACUGGCAAAAGACCAACAGACGGCGAGUUUGGAGAAGCUCUAGGCCUUCACAAGCAUGUCCAAAUGGCACUUCGAGUUCCAGACAGAACCACCAAUUGUUAUCAGAGGACAAAGAUGGAGGAGAAGCAAACACCUCAAACCCUGGCAGGAAAAGAGAUAUAUCAAUUGCUUGCAUCACUUCAAUUCUGCACAUUGGAGUUUCAUGUUCAAAAGAAACUCCAAUAG
rnacentral:rRNA from 1 species